rnacentral:rRNA from 1 species
UCAAGCAAAAAAGAGCGCAGGGUGGAUGCCUUGGCACUAAGAGCCGAUGAAAGACGUGAUAAGCUGCGAAAAGCUGCGGGGAGGAGCAAAUAUCCACUGAUCCGCAGAUGUCUGAAUGGGGAAACCCGCAUGAGCACACCUCAUGCAUCCAUACGCCAAUCCAUAACGUAUGGAGGGGAACCGCCUGAACUGAAACAUCUAAGUAGGGCGAGGAAGAGAAAGAAAAUUUAUCGAUUUCCAAAGUAGCGGCGAGCGAAAUGGAAAGAGGCCAAACCGGAGUGCGUGCACUCCGGGGUUCGGACCGCAUUUAAGAUCUGAUGAUCCUAGCAGAAAGGUUUUGGGAAAGCCUGCCGGAGAGGGUGAAAGCCCCGUAAGCGAAAGGAAAGCCAGCUGAGCGGUAUCCAGAGUACAUCGAGACACGAGAAACCUUGAUGGAAUGAGCGGGGACCACCCCGUAAGCCUAAAUACUCCUUAGUGACCGAUAGCGCAUAGUACUGUGAAGGAAAGGUGAAAAGGACCCCGGGAGGGGAGUGAAAGAGAACCUGAAACCCUGUGUUUACAAGCUGUGGGACAUCUUUACAUGAUGAACCGCGUACUUUUUGUAGAACGGUCCGGCGAGUUGCGGAUGCCGGCAAGGUUAAGCACUUAAGGUGUGGAGCCGAAGGGAAACCAAGUCUGAAGAGGGCGCAUAUAGUCAGUAUCCGCAGACCCGAAACCGGGUGAUCUACCCAUGUCCAGGUUGAAGUUGCCGUAAAAGGCAAUGGAGGACCGAACGCACAUCCGUUGAAAAGGGUGGCGAUGAGGUGUGGGUAGGGGAGAAAUUCCAAUCGAACCCGGAGAUAGCUGGUUCUCCUCGAAAUAGCUUUAGGGCUAGCCUCGUUUUAGUCUUAUGGAGGUAGAGCACUGAAUUUCCGCGGGGGCGUCAAAGCUUACCAAAGAAUAUCAAACUCCGAAUGCCAUGUAGAUGAUGAACGGGAGUCAGACUGCACGAGAUAAGUUGGGCAGUCAAAAGGGAAAGAGCCCAGACCGCCAGCCAAGGUCCCAAAGUGUGUGUUAAGUGGAAAAGGAUGUGGGAUCUCCAAGACAACUAGGAUGUUGGCUCAGAAGCAGCCACACAUUCAAAGAGUGCGUAACAGCUCACUAGUCGAGAGGUCCUGCGCCGAAAAUGUCCGGGGCUGAAACACAACACCGAAGCUGCGGAAUUGCGAAUGCAAUUGGUAGAGGAGCAUUCUUAAUACCGACGAAGCUGUACCGGAAGGAGCAGUGGAGGGAUAAGAAGAGAGAAUGCCGGAAUGAGUAGCGAGAGAGAGGUGGGAAUCCUCUCGGCCGAAUAUCCAAGGUUUCCAGAGUAAAGCUGAUCUGCUCUGGGUAAGUCGGGGCCUAAGGCGAGGUCAAAAGACGUAGCCGAUGGACAACAGGUUUAGAUUCCUGUACCGCAUAUAAACAGAACUGUGGGGACGCAUGGGGAGAGCAUGGGCCGGGAAUGGAAAUACCGGUGCAAGCGAAGGAGGUGUGCAGCCGGCAAAUCCGCUGCAUGAGCCGAAAGCGUGACGCGGAGCGAAAUGAAAGUAGCGAAGCAUGUGAGCCCUGUGCCGAGAAAAGCCGCUAUUGCUUUAUAUGUGCCCGUACCGUAAACCGACACAGGUGGAUGAGGAGAGAAUCCUAAGGCCGGCGGAAGAAGUAUUGUUAAGGAACUCGGCAAAAUGACCCCGUAACUUCGGGAGAAGGGGUGCCCACGGGAGUGGGCCGCAGAGAAUAGGCUCAAGCAACUGUUUAGCAAAAACACAGGUCUAUGCGAAACCGAAAGGUGAAGUAUAUGGGCUGACGCCUGCCCGGUGCUGGAAGGUUAAGAGGAGAGGUCAGCGCAAGCGAAGCUUUGAAUUUAAGCCCCAGUAAACGGCGGCCGUAACUAUAACGGUCCUAAGGUAGCGAAAUUCCUUGUCGGGUAAGUUCCGACCC